AUGCUAGUGGCACACUUUGCUCGUAUUCAGAACGCAGGAGUUCUAGCAGCCGCAGUACCACAAAAUUUUGCUCCCCGUCAGUUCUACGUCGGUCCAGGAGUGCCUGGCAUGUUCCCACCACAGAUUCCUGCAGGCUUCGGGUAUCAGCAAUUCCCACAACAGCAUUUCACUCCUUGGGUUCCUAGCGGCAUGAAGCCAUAUACGUAUAACAUGCCGAGGCCACUGCACCAUGCUUGGCGUGGUGUGUAUCAAGAAAUCAAUCUACACCGACAGAUGGUGGACCCAAAUGCCAACCAAGCCUUCAUAUACAUGCCAAAUUCUAUGAAUGCGAACGCCAACUCUGUGAUGGUUCCCCCGGGCUUCGCACAAACUGAUAGUAUUGUCUCUAUUCCAUCUGUUCCAAGCAAGAACACCACCACCACUGUUUAUAUUCUUCUGCCCCGGAGAAACAACAUCCUAUUCAAGACGAGAAAUUGUACCCACUGGCUGAACAGCUUGAGCCAGAAUUAG
rnacentral:rRNA from 1 species